GAGGGUAUAGCUCAGUGGUAAAGGGCAUGCUAAGCAUGCACGAGGUCCUGGGUUCAAUUCCCAGGACCUCCA
rnacentral:tRNA from 1 species